rnacentral:tRNA from 2 species
GGCCCUUUAGCUCAGUGGUAAGAGCAGGCGGCUCAUAACCGCAUGGUCGCUGGUUCAAUUCCAGCAAGGGCCAUCA